rnacentral:rRNA from 1 species
GACGGGGGAUGCAAGUGUUAUCCGGAAUCACUGGGCGUAAAGCGUCUGUAGGUGGUCUAGCAAGUCAACUGUUAAAUCUUGAGGCUCAACUUCAAAAUCGCAGUCGAAACUGUUAGACUAGAGUAUAGUAGAGGUAAAGGGAAUUUCCAGUGGAGCGGUGAAAUGCGUAGAGAUUGGAAAGAACACCGAUGGCGAAGGCACUUUACUGGGCUAUUACUAACACUCAGAGACGAAAGCUAGGGUAGCAAAUGGG